UACGUAGGGCGCAAGCGUUAUCCGGAAUUAUUGGGCGUAAAGAGCUCGUAGGCGGUUUGUCGCGUCUGCCGUGAAAGUCCGGGCUCAACUCCGGAUCUGCGGUGGUACGGCAGACUAGAGUGCGGUAGGGGAGACUGGAAUUCUGGUGUAGCGGUGAAAUGCGCAGAUAUCAGGAGGAACACCGGUGGCGAAGGCGGGUCUCUGGGCCGUAACUGACGCUGAGGAGCGAAAGCGUGGGGAGCGAAACAGG
rnacentral:rRNA from 1 species